UGAGAGCACGAGGCAAAUCAUGGCCAGU
rnacentral:piRNA from 1 species